rnacentral:rRNA from 1 species
UUAUAUCAAAAAGCGGAGGAAAAGAAACCAACUGGGAUUACCUUAGUAACGGCGAGUGAAGCGGUAAAAGCUCAAAUUUGAAAUCUGGUACUUUCAGUGCCCGAGUUGUAAUUUGUAGAAUUUGUCUUUGAUUAGGUCCUUGUCUAUGUUCCUUGGAACAGGACGUCAUAGAGGGUGAGAAUCCCGUUUGGCGAGGAUACCUUUUCUCUGUAAGACUUUUUCGAAGAGUCGAGUUGUUUGGGAAUGCAGCUCAAAGUGGGUGGUAAAUUCCAUCUAAAGCUAAAUAUUGGCGAGAGACCGAUAGCGAACAAGUACAGUGAUGGAAAGAUGAAAAGAACUUUGAAAAGAGAGUGAAAAAGUACGUGAAAUUGUUGAAAGGGAAGGGCAUUUGAUCAGACAUGGUGUUUUUUGCAUGCACUCGCCUCUCGUGGGCUUGGGCCUCUCAAAAAUUUCACUGGGCCAACAUCAAUUCUGGCAGCAGGAUAAAUCAUUAAGAAUGUAGCUACUUCGGUAGUGUUAUAGCUUUUUGGAAUACUGUUAGCCGGGAUUGAGGACUGCGCUUCGGCAAGGAUGUUGGCAUAAUGGUUAAAUGCCGCCCGUCUUGAAACACGGACAUCA